CAAGAGUCCAGAAAACAAAACAAAACAUGAUCAAACAUAAAACCAGAUUUACAGGCGUGACAAGCUUAACAUGUUAUGUGUACCACAGAAUGUGCAAACUGAAGAUGAAGAUAUUACCAGAGAGGAAGGACACUAUCCAUGUCCUGACAAAGAGAUGGCAUUACCAACCCCUGAGGAUGAACACAUCCCGCCACCUAAGAGACUGACAACACCCUUAAAAGACACAGAUGCAUUAUCACGACAUCGUGCAGUGAGACAUUCUUCCAAUGGUAAAGCUGCCCAGAAAAGGCUGUCGAGAAGCACAUGAAAGGAUUCAUCCCUUCUGGUCUUGUACCAGGAAAGAAUGACUGUUAAAAAUGUUUGAGAGCCGGACCAGAAGCUCUCCAAAACGGAAAUGGCAAUUAUUGAAGUUCUAUGUGUACAACCGCAUUAUGGCCUACAAAAGGAGAUUGCAGCUAAAAUAGUAGAUUAAGAGAUAAUAAGCAAGACUGGUUAAGUAGAAAAGUUUUUUUUGUUUUGUUUUUUUAUGUUAAUGUUCAAUGUUGUUCAAAAUUAAAAAUAAAAGUUUAAAUGAGUUUUCUUGAAAA